GAUGUUGCCUCUUAUCAUAUCUCUCCUGAGCUCCCCAAACCUCCCAAACAGAGUAAAACCGUAGUGCUCUGAGCUAUUUCUAUCAUAAAUGUAAUGGUUUCUCAGUUUUGUCUCAUUAAUUAAGAGGUGAUGAAGGUAGUGAUCUCAUUGGGAAGAGUUUCUGGAACGGUAGCGGGGGAAGGAGGGAAGGUCUCUAUCCCACUGUGAGGCCACAUUCUUGGCUCUGCAUAGCUCCAGAGACGUCACCCGGGUCAUGAGGUGUUUCACAUAACAAGGACGUUUUGAUGUUAAAGGCAAUUCAUCAAGCAUUACUUCUGCUCCCAGAGGCCAUAACAGCACAGAGCAAAGAGGAAAAUGGACUCUUAUCAGGAUUGCACAAUAUAAUCCUUAUUUUAUCUUAACAGAUCCAUUCUCUUUCCACUUUGUUUGCAACAUCAGAUAGCAGGCCCUCAAUGUGUUCAAAAUGGGAGCUUUCCAAAAGAUAGAGGAAUUUGGGUCACAUUUUAUAAUAACUCCACUCAUGUGCUACUUUAACUAAUCUGCAGAUUCAAAAUAAUCCCCUAAUGCUGUAAUAACCCUUUAUAUAAUUAUGUAUGGCUUUUAUUUGCAAUACAUGUAAUAGUUCGUAUAAGCACAACUGUGGAAACGUUCAGCGGUCCAUCUGGCUGGAGUUAGCAUGGACAUUUUUCCCAAACUGGUUGUGAAUCACUGGAAGGAUCAUGACCUACAGGGCAAUGGAGGGAAUCUGUGAUGGACCUCCCAGAAGUUUCCACAAAUCAGCCCCAUUUUGUCCCCCAACACACUUUAAGGAUUGUUUGUUUAUCCAAAAACUUAUUUCAUAAACUCCAUCAGCAAGGGUGAAAAUAUCAGGGC
ensembl:lncRNA